CCCAAACAAAUACAAAAAGAAAAAUGAAGCAACAAAAAUCUACCUGUCAGAUAUUGCUGGGAACCAACCAAGACUUGCUUUUAAGGUCAGGCACAAACAAGCUUAUUAGCUAAGUCUGAUAUUUGACCAACUGUUCGAAGUUAAAUAAUUCCCCUGACUCCUGUUGCAGAGGAGCUGCAUCCUAAACUGCCCUCAAUCACUUGCAGCUCCAGAACUGGCCCACAUAAAGGUAAAAAAUACCUUUUGCCAAGGUUAUUAAACUAUGCUGGGUAAGUUGAGAGGCACAGCUAUGGAGAUGCUGCAGUAUCCAUUCACACCAGCUGUGAUGCUGAAUUUGGGGGUGUAAGUCUAUAUUGGCCUGGGCUUAUCUGGUUCCUACUGCAUGAAGAGUACGUUUGCAUGGUAACACUGCACCCCAGCUGACACAGAGAUCCCACAGAAAACCUGAAACAAAGCAUGGCCUGAGACCCUCCCACACUCUUUAAGGCCCAUUUCCUUGCCUUGUGCUUCUCUGUCCUCAUGCACUGCUGGAGUAGGGGGAUUGCCUGGAAAUUCCCAAGGCAAGCAGCAGGUGAGGGAGACCAAGGCUGCUCUGGCCCUGCUGGGCAGAGAUAGCACUGCAAGCCCAUCUGCAGGAGCCGUUUCAGCUCUACCUAAACUGGGUUUUCCCCUUGACAAAUACCCCAGUGGUGAGCCUUGGUGCCCUUAUACAUGUACCCAGUUGGAUUUUCUUGAUGCUCUUGCCCUUCUGGGAUGUCCCCUAUCCCUAUGGCAUUCUAAGGGAAGGUAUGUUUGGUGCAGCAGACUUCAAAGAGUGAAGGGCAACAACUGUGGAAAAGGGAGUAUUUGGCUCUCUAUUCCCUGCAGGUUGGGAGUGGUUGGUGGCAGGGCUUGUGUAAUACCUGCAAAGCUGAUGUGGGGAGAUUGUCACUCAGUUUGUGAAGUGUUUUCUUGAUUGCUUGAUUACCUGAGCAUGAGCUGUCCUCCCCCAUGGGGAGCUUGAAUGGCUUCAGGUAGGACUGGGAAAGAUUUCCUUUUUUUAUUCUGUCCCUCAGGGGUGUAUAUGACUGAGGCCAUGCAUGGUUCUCACACAUGUCAUCCCACACAGCGCACAAAUACAACCUCUAGUGUGGGCUUUUUUGGUUUGAGUGCCUUUCUCAGGAGCUGAACCCGAGCUGUCCCGAGGCAGGACUGAGCAGCUGAGGAGUGCGGGUAUGUGUUUGAAAGGACAGGGCGGCUGCUGCUGCAUUGCCACCUGCUGGGGACACCAACGCCCUUCUGCGAGGGUCCCCAAACCCUGCCCUGCGGGGUGAGCCUGGCUGGCCUCCAGCCUUUUACCUCAGGGGCUUAUUUUGAGCUGAUCUGCUGCCUCUUGCUUUGUUGGAGUUUGUCUUCAGGCACUAAUAACGUGCAAGUUAUAACUCCGGGGUUUGAAUUUCCUGGUUUUGGUACUGGCCUUCAGGUUUCUUUCACAGAUACAUCCAAAGGGACACUUUGGCCAAAGGACUUGCAGACAUUCUGGGCAGGAACAGACCACCACCAUGGACAAACACAACCAGCAACAAGUGUCAAGUAUCUACACUUCUGAUAAAGUCCUUCUCAGGGGCCUUGUUGAAACAGGACCAGUUGAAUUUUCAAACCUUGUGUUGGUUUUGCUCCCUCUCCUUGGCACACAGGUGGGUGAAGUGAGCAGCACCACCAAGCCCCUGUACGAGAAAGGAAGGGUAACCAGAGAAACUGCACUAUGCUGCUUUCUCCUCCUCAUUGCUGGACUCCCCUCCUCAAGACCUUUACCACAAACAUUAACAAAACCUAUAGAAAACCAGGUUGUCUAGGACCUCAAGGAACUUAAUAUGUGCUUGUGCUGGAGGGCAGGAUCACCUCUACCCAUUGCACUGCUGACAGCUUGGUCUUAGCACCUUUGCUGCUGGACAGUCAGCCUCCCAGAGGUGUCCUGUUCCUCCUGUCACUGAGCAGGAGGUGCUUUUUUAGGAGGAUCCACCUCUUCCUUUUGGUGGCCAGCACUGCACACAGGUGUAUUUUAGUGCAAGCAACAGUAACCUGCAGGACUCUGUUCUCCAAUGGAUGGGAGGAUGCAGCCUUGGAUGGAGACACCAGUGCAAAAGGAUGUACUGGGAUGAAAGCACAGCCUGAAAGGGAAAGCCCAGGACUUGCCUUGAUGGAUUGGAGAUGAGGGAAAAACGUGACAUACCCUUAACACUCCAGGUGGGUGGAAGGCCACUGAGCCUCCAGGAGCUGCCAGCACAGCACAGCUGUUGUUUUUUAUGUUGGUAUCUUCAGAUAUGAAUCCUGGUCACAAAGCAGGAGGUAGAAAUAACCCAAAGUUUGGUUGUUUCAGCAUUUUUAUUAGACAGUGCUCCACUCAGCAGUUGUACACACGGCCCUGAUUCUCCCCUAAUCAGUGCACAAACCUUGGAACAUUAUGCUCUCAGGCCACUAUGACCCAGACUGCACAAACCAUGCCCUUUUACAGAAGUGGUGCCCAGGAAACACCCAGGCUCAGAGCAGUGUCCCUGCACUGCCAUCACACCAGUCAAGCUGGGAGGGUAACUUCAAGUGCUGUUUCAUUAGGCAAGUCCUCUCUGCUUCCCAGUCACCUCCCUGUGCUGCUUGGCUCCUGUGAAUGACAGGGUAUGCCUGCUGCUGUGUCCCCAUGAGCCUGAGGCUUCUGACAGGGAUGCCCACCCUCAAGGAGAUGAGCUUUUCUGCAAUUCAGGCUGUCUUCUGAUGGACUUUCAGAAACCUAUGAGGGCAGCAGGAGCAUGGGCUUUGAGGAAACAAAUGAGCCUUCCAGGGCUGGUUUCUGCUCCUUGCCUACCCAGGUGGUUCUCAUGGAGCCCCCUGUGCCACUGGGGCUCAGCUGCCCUGUGUUCAGGCACGUGUGAGUGUAACCCUGCCAGCUUUGGUGGUCUUGCUUUGCCACUGCUGGUCCAGGAGAGUGGCUGUGCUGCCCUUCUAUUUCUCCCCUGCCCUUCUGGGACUUGAGGCACUCAGAGCUCAGCCCUUGAAAGAUCAAAAUUCAUGGCCACAGUGGUGCAGGCUGAGGAGCUGCUCUCAAACAGCACAGAGCUGUGUGGCUACAUCUGUAAACCUCCCUGAGCUCAGUGUUUAGCUCAUGCUCAGUGCUAAGAAAGUGGUUUACAGAGUCAGGUCCCAAAUUUCUGUGAACUGGUGCAGCAUCAGCUAAGGAUGGAAAAGCAGAUUUACUCCCUGCAAAUACCUGAUCUGCCUGACACAUCAAAGCCAGUUAACCUAGUGCAGAUUUUCCAGUUGGGUAGAUGAGUGGUUGCAAAUUAAACUACAACAAGUAGUAGCAAGGCAAACAAGUGACUCAAAUUACCCAGGUUUGGGAAAGCUUAUAAAAGGAAACAUGUAAAUAACAUCUAUAGCUGAUAGGUCAGAACUCAGUGGCAUACACAUCUUUUCCCUUGUUGCUGCUGGUGGGCACCUGGCACCACCUAAUGCACAAAUUUAAAUAAAGACUGCAAAAUAAACUCUCAAAGCUAACAAGAAGAGACCACAAAAGCAAGCAUGCUUAGCUCACUUUUGGACUGGAGUUUGCCACUGGAUGACCAAUGGACUAGCAAGGUUUCAUGUAAGAUGGCAGUGGAUUACUUGUCUGUCACUGGAACAAGUGCACAGAGAGCCUUUGCCUUUAGAGCAGA